ACUUAAAUUGAAGAGUUUGAUCAUGGCUCAGAUUGAACGCUGGCGGCAGGCCUAACACAUGCAAGUCGAGCGGUAGCACAGAGAGCUUGCUCUCGGGUGACGAGCGGCGGACGGGUGAGUAAUGUCUGGGAAACUGCCUGAUGGAGGGGGAUAACUACUGGAAACGGKAGCUAAUACCGCAUAACGUCGCA
rnacentral:rRNA from 1 species